GUCGUUAUAGUAUAGUGGUGAGUAUCCCCGCCUAUCACGCGGGAGACCUGGGUUUGAUCCCUGGCAAUGGCG
rnacentral:tRNA from 1 species